rnacentral:rRNA from 1 species
GGAUUAGAUACCCUGGUAGUCCACGCCGUAAACGAUGUGUACUAGACGUUGCGGGGAUUGACACCUGCAGUGUCGAAGCUAACGCGAUAAGUACACCGCCUGGGGAGUACGGUCGCAAGACUAAAACUCAAAGGAAUUGACGGGGGCCCGCACAAGCGGUGGAUUAUGUGGUUUAAUUCGAAGAUACGCGCAGAACCUUACCUGGGCUUGACAUCCUUCGACAACUCUAGAGAUAGAGCCUUCUCUUCGGAGACGGAGUGACAGGUGCUGCAUGGCUGUCGUCAGCUCGUGUCG